AAACAACUGCCCAAAUGUGAUGAAUUCCCACUUAUUGUGGUAUAAAUUGUAGAUACGAAGAUGAUAUGAGGGGGGAGCGUUAAGGAGCUGUGAUCUAUUCGGGUUGAGCACGUCUCCCUGAGUAUCAGAGAUGGUGACUGGGUUUAUCCUUUUAAUGUAGGCUGUGACAAACCAAGAGUCCUUGGGUAGAUACUGGGAUAAAAAUACAUGGAUCAGCAGAGAACUAUAUGGAGAUAAUACAAGGAUCACUGAAGGCCUAAGCAACU